rnacentral:rRNA from 1 species
GCACGAUAUGGUGGGCACUCUAAGGAGACUGCCGGUGACAAACCGGAGGAAGGUGGGGAUGACGUCAAGUCAUCAUGGCCCUUACGGCCUGGGCUACACACGUGCUACAAUGGUCGGUACAAAGGGUUGCCAAGCCGCGAGGUGGAGCUAAUCCCAUAAAACCGAUCGUAGUCCGGAUCGCAGUCUGCAACUCGACUGCGUGAAGUCGGAAUCGCUAGUAAUCGUGAAUCAGAAUGUCACGGUGAAUACGUUCCCGGGCCUU